rnacentral:rRNA from 1 species
AACGAACGCUGGCGGCAUGCCUAACACAUGCAAGUCGAACGAGACCUUCGGGUUUAGUGGCGCACGGGUGCGUAACGCGUGGGAAACUGCCCUUAGGUUCGGAAUAACUCCCCGAAAGGGGUGCUAAUACGGGAUAAUGUCUUGGGACCAAAGAUUUAUCGCCUUUGGAUGGGCCUGCGUUGGAUUAGCUAGUUGGUAGGGUAAAAGCCUACCAAGGCGAGGAUCCAUAGCUGGUUUGAGAGGAUGAUCAGCCACACUGGGAUUGGGACACGGCCCAGACUCCUACGGGAUGCAGCAGUGGCUAAUAUUGGACUACGGGCGAAAGCCUGAUCCAGCAAGGCCGCGUGAGUGAUGAAGGCCUUAGGGUUGUAAAGCUCUUUUACCCGGGAUGAUAAUGACAGUACCGGGAGAAUAAGCUCCGGCUAACUCCGUG